rnacentral:rRNA from 1 species
GCGUCGUAACCGGGCUGAAGUCGUACCGUAAGGAGCGGUGGACUGGUUACGAGUGAGAAUGUUGGCAUCAGUAGCGAGAUGUGGGUGAGAAUCCCACAGGCCGAAAACCUAAGGUUUCCUCAGGAAGGUUCGUCCGCUGAGGGUUAGUCGGGACCUAAGCCGAGGCCGAAAGGCGUAGGUGAUGGACAACUGGUUGAUAUUCCAGUACCACUACCAUCGUUAUUAUCGAUGGCGUGACGCAGGAGGAUAGUGUGUGCUAGCUAUUGGAUGCUAGUCUAAGCGUUUAGGCAGUGAGAGUAGGCAAAUCCGCUCUCAUAAUGCUGAGGCGUGAUGGGGAAGGUUCUACGGAACCGAAGUACAUGAUUCCACGCUGCCAAGAAAAGCGUCUAGAGAGAGAAGUAGUGCCCGUACCGCAAACCGACACAGGUAGGUGAGGAGAGAAUCCUAAGGCCGGCGGAAGAAUUACAGUUAAGGAACUCGGCAAAUUGACCCCGUAAGUUCGCGAGAAGGGGUGCCUACGAGAGUAGGCCGCAGAGAAUAGGCCCAAGCAACUGUUUAGCAAAAACACAGGUCUCUGCUAAAGCGUAAGCUGAUGUAUAGGGGCUGACGCCUGCCCGGUGCUGGAAGGUUAAGGGGAACACUU